GACGAACGCUGGCGGCGUGCCUAAUACAUGCAAGUCGAACGCAGUGGGGACGGGUGAGUAACACGUGGGUAACCUCCCAUCAGAGGGGAUAACACUUGGAAACAGGUGCUAAACCGAUACUGAUGGAUGGACCCGCGGUGCAUUAGCUAGUUGGUGAGGUAACGGCUCACCAAGGCCACGAUGCAUAGCCGCCCUGAAGUGUUGCUCGUCCACCCUGAGACUGAGACACGGCCCGGCUCCCUACGUGAGCCCGCAGUAGGGAAUCUUCGGCAGUGGACGAAAGUCUGACCGAGCACCGCCGCGUGGGUGAAAAAGUUUUUCGUAUCGUAAACCUCUGUUUUUAGAGAAGCGGUCUCUAUCCAGAAAGCCAGGGCUAACUACGUGCCACCACCCGCGUAAUUC
rnacentral:rRNA from 1 species